rnacentral:rRNA from 1 species
CCUACGGGAGGCAGCAGUGGGGAAUUUUGGACAAUGGGCGAAAGCCUGAUCCAGCAAUGCCGCGUGAGUGAAGAAGGCCUUCGGGUUGUAAAGCUCUUUUGUCAGGGAAGAAACGGUGUGGGCUAAUAUCCUGCACUAAUGACGGUACCUGAAGAAUAAGCACCGGCUAACUACGUGCCAGCAGCCGCGGUAAUACGUAGGGUGCAAGCGUUAAUCGGAAUUACUGGGCGUAAAGCGUGCGCAGGCGGUUUUGUAAGUCUGUCGUGAAAUCCCCGGGCUCAACCUGGGAAUUGCGAUGGAGACUGCAAGGCUAGAAUCUGGCAGAGGGGGGUAGAAUUCCACGUGUAGCAGUGAAAUGCGUAGAGAUGUGGAGGAACACCGAUGGCGAAGGCAGCCCCCUGGGUCAAGAUUGACGCUCAUGCACGAAAGCGUGGGGAGCAAACAGGAUUAGAUACCCUGGUAGUCCACGCCCUAAACGAUGUCUACUAGUUGUCGGGUUUUAAUAACUUGGUAACGCAGCUAACGCGUGAAGUAGACCGCCUGGGGAGUACGGUCGCAAGAUUAAAACNCAAAUGAAUUGACGGNUGAGAGAGCGAGACGACGACGAGGGAGGAGG